CAAGAGGUAGGCUAGUAAAAUGGUCUGACGUUCUCCUUUGAGACUUAUGUUCCUGUUUCUUUCAGAGAACUCUGUGAAGACUUUGAGAAACUCAGCCAAGCACUCAGAGUGAGCAAACUUUUUCAGUGUUUUUUCUUCCUGAAAGCUCAGAGUAGGAAAAUCUGGUAUAGCUUGACUUUAUUAUAAUGCCCUGGACGGCAGGUUUCUUCAGUCUGACUUCUUGAAAGAGUAGUGUUUUAAGCACCAAAGCUCCGUUCUAGAAAACUUUUCCCCAGAGACUCAUGGGAUUAAUUUAGGCUCUAUGAGAGACUGGAUCAAAGUUACAAAGAGUUCACUGCUGAGCUAGGAAGAGUGGACUAGAUCCUCAAAGGCUUCCAGAAGGGACCGAUCUAAAGCCAUGAAGCAGAGCAGCCUUGACAGAGAGGUUCUUGCGUGGAUCAGAAGGCUGAAGCUGUUGGCCUCACCUCGUCAGUCGAAGCGUUCCCAGUCUGGGUUUUCUCUGGAGCUGUGGUUGGAGGAGGUGACAGCUAUGUGGAUGUGUAGCAGCAGGAAACAUUUGGCUGAUUGAGCAG
rnacentral:lncRNA from 1 species